rnacentral:rRNA from 1 species
GAUGAACGCUGGCGGCGUGCCUAAUACAUGCAAGUCGAGCGAAUGGAUUAAGAGCUUGCUCUUAUGAAGUUAGCGGCGGACGGGUGAGUAACACGUGGGUAACCUGCCCAUAAGACUGGGAUAACUCCGGGAAACCGGGGCUAAUACCGGAUAACAUUUUGAACCGCAUGGCUCGAAAUUGAAAGGCGGCUUCGGCUGUCACUUAUGGAUGGACCCGCGUCGCAUUAGCUAGUUGGUGAGGUAACGGCUCACCAAGGCAACGAUGCGUAGACCACCGGAGAGGGUGAUCGGCCACACUGGGACUGAGACACAGCCCAGACUCCUACGCGAGGCAGCAGUAGGGAAUCUUCCGCAAUGGACGAAAGUCUGACGGAGCAACGCCGCGUGAGUGAUGAAGGCUUUCGGGUCGUAAAACUCUGUUGUUAGGGAAGAACAAGUGCUAGUUGAAUAAGCUGGCACCUUGACGGUACCUAACCAGAAAGCCACGGCUAACUACGUGCCAGCCGCCGCCGUAA